rnacentral:lncRNA from 1 species
CAGCAGACGACAUCCCAUCCAAUAGUUCUUUUUCUUCAAGGCUCUGUCCGAGAUGGUUACCUUAGCCAUUGGCUCAUGGCGGGGCACUUUCUUUCCUGACUUUUUUCGCAAAUGCCUGGUAAAGUCUGAGCUUCUUCAUUGCACUACGUGCACAUGAUCGCUGCCUUGUUCUGAAGAGGGUCUCUAACUCUACUAUAUUGCAAGACAAAUGAGAUUAAAAGAAGAAAUUUGAAAAGGUUUCCUUGUUCAGUUUGAACUGUCAAUGGUGUUGUCUGGUGUGCAGUUGUUUUGCAGUCAUUCAGUCGAGAGAUGCCCUGAGAUGGAUGAUCAACUGCUGAGACUUUUCUAACAUUGUCUUUUUCAAUGGGGAUGCUGUCCGAGAAGGUUUAGCUUUGCCAUUACAGGCAAGUUUCUCUCUUGACAUUAUUAGUCUUAAAAAUGUAACAGCCUGGUGAAGUCCAAGCUUUUCAUUACGUUACGUGUACGUGAUCGCUUCCGUUAAAUGCAGGUUCUUUAAUAAGAGGGUCUCCGCCCUCUUAGACUUGUUGCAGCGAGCUCUGGUGAAGGAUGUGGUGAGCUGUUGCAUGACAACCAUGUGCUUGUGUGGGGAAAGUGCUGCAUGCUGUCUGUGGUUUUCAUUGCCAGUUAGAGUAUGAGCUAAUUAUGUUGUUGGUCUGUGGUAUGCAGUUCAUGUUAAGGUGGUUUUGUUGCAGCCGCUGCUGCUGAAAGGGAGUCCAAGUCGAGUUGAGCUGCAGCUUUUGAAACAUUCAACAAUGCUGGUGUUAUUCUGAAAUGUAAAAUCAAUGAAGACAUCUUGAAAUGGUUUUCUAACUAAGAGGGUCUCUACUACAUUUCAAGAAAACGUUGUGAUGGAAAUAGGAAAUCUGAAUGAAAUACUAAUAAUGUUUCCAUGGUCAGUUUGAUGUUUGAGCUGUAUUGUUGUGGCUGUUUGGUGUGGAGUGGUUUUCCAGGAGACAUGUGUUUAAAAGGGAUAAAGCGGCUGAUGUUGGUAACAUCGCAAUCUUAUGCAACUGAGCCUUUCAUAAUUUCUACAGUGUUCGUGAUCAAUGUAAACUUCAACAUUAUUCUUCAAAUAUCUUAAAAGGAUUAAUGGCUUGGUGAGAUUGAGCUUUUUCAUGGCAGUCAAAUGUCCGCAUGGAAUUGUUGCAGCAGCUGGUGAAGGUUGUAGUGAGCUGUUGCAUGAUGACCAUGUGCUGGUGUGGGGAAGUGCUGCAUGCUGUCUGGUGUUUCCAUCGUCAGUUAGAUGUGUGAGCUAAUUAUGUUGCUCUUUUGUGUGCAGUUCAUGUUCAGGUGUUUUUGUUGCAGCCAGCUGGUGAAAGGGGGUUAAAGUUGUGUAGAGCUGUAGCUUAUUGUAGCAGUCAACAAUGCUGGUGUUAUUCUGAAGUGCAACAUCAAUGAAGACAUUCUGAAAUGAUUUGGUGACAAUGUGAUCAACAAUAUGCUGAAUGGAGUCUAUGCUGUUUUUGUUAUCAAGGAGUGGAGAAGUAAGACUAAGCAAGGCUGCAAGAAAAUGAAAUGGUCUCGGCGUAAAUGUGCAGUCGCUUUGCAGUCUCAAUCCUGUUCAAGCUGUUGCCAUCCUGAAUUAUGCUGGAGUCUUGCAAGUAGCUGAUCCUGAAGUUGGGUUGCUGCUGUUAUCCUGAAGAAGCUGAUGUUGAUGUUAUUAAGUAAAUGUGCCAGUUCAGUUCUGGUUGUUCAAAAUUAUAUCCAUGUUGUAUGUGAUUUUAGCAACCUUGAGAUUUCUUAUCAACUAAGACAUGUUGCAACCUGUUAAUAACUGAAACAGCACUCCUUCCUGAAAUUUCCUCACCCAUAUAUUUUUAAAUAAUUCUUAAAUAAUAGGAUGUCAAAACUUGCAAUAUUAUACCUUGUGCAUUGUUAUAUCUGAUAUAUUUUUCAUAAGUUAUGAAAUAUUUAAACAAAUUAAAAUACAAUCAAUUAUAUGAAA